GCCCAGGUGGUGGAAUCGGUAGACACGUCGGGCUUAAGAUUCGGUGGCCUUUAACGGUCGUGCGAGUUCGAGUCUCGCUCUGGGCACCA
rnacentral:tRNA from 1 species